rfam:Oryza punctata chromosome 11, whole genome shotgun sequence.
AGCUCAGUGAUUGCAGCCACUUACAUUGGCAAUAUACGCUAUACAGACCAUAGUUUGAUGACGAAUGAGAAUAUGAGAGCU